UGGGGAAUUUUGGACAAUGGGCGAAAGCCUGAUCCAGCAAUGCCGCGUGUGUGAAGAAGGCCUUCGGGUUGUAAAGCACUUUUGUCCGGAAAGAAAUCCUUGGCUCUAAUACAGUCGGGGGAUGACGGUACCGGAAGAAUAAGCACCGGCUAACUACGUGCCAGCAGCCGCGGUAAUACGUAGGGUGCAAGCGUUAAUCGGAAUUACUGGGCGUAAAGCGUGCGCAGGCGGUUUGCUAAGACCGAUAUGAAAUCCCCGGGCUCAACCUGGGAACUGCAUUGGUGACUGGCAGGCUAGAGUAUGGCAGAGGGGGGUAGAAUUCCACGUGUAGCAGUGAAAUGCGUAGAGAUGUGGAGGAAUACCGAUGGCGAAGGCAGCCCCCUGGGCCAAUACUGACGCUCAUGCACGAAAGCGUGGGGAGCAAACAGGAUUAGAUACCCUGGUAGUCCACGCCCUAAACGAUGUCAACUAGUUGUUGGGGAUUCAUUUCCUUAGUAACGUAGCUAACGCGUGAAGUUGACCGCCUGGGGAGUACGGUCGCAAGAUUAAAACUCAAAUGAAUUGACGGGGUCAUAGCUGUUUCCU
rnacentral:rRNA from 1 species